UUUAAGUCUCUCUUGCGCUCCUGGGGACCAUUUCUGCCAACACUACCCAUUCCUUUGCUAGACACAGUGCACACAGCCAUUCUUUCUAUGCUGGCAUUUGCCCAGCAGCAUAACCUGGAGCCGAGGCUAAAUUCAUCUUGCACAGACUUGUUCGUGCUGGUUCUGGCCUGUCUCUCACAAGUUGAGCUUUCAAAAACACCAGUGAUUGGUUUUGCAUAGACAUGUGUGGACUGUUGGAAGAAUUCUCUUGCUGGAUUUCUGUUGUUUACAUAAGCAUAUAUGUAUUUUAAAACUGUCCCUUUGCUGAAUUAAACAACGGGGCUUUUUUUUUUUUUUUUUUAAAGCCAUGGAUGCUUAAAGGUAGCACAGAAUAAAAGCAAUAGGGUUUCAUUUCUCUCAAUGACAAGUUGCAACAUAUCCAAAAGGUGUCUAUUUUUGUCUUGGCAGGAAAGGGUCAAAACUGGAAAUCUGCAGCAGAGACCAGCUAGAGGGUAGAAGUGCAGACAGAAGCUGACAACCCCAUGCCCCUCAUUGGGAGUUCAGCCCAUGGAAUGUUCUGUAGGAAAAAGGAAUGGCGGAGAUAUUUCAGUUACAUUUUGUUCUCGGUCAAAACCUUCUGAAAUAUAAAUCUGCUGUGUGUUGAGAGUGGAGACAGCAGUUCAUAGAACUUGAAUGGCUUUCAUUCAACUCGAGGAUCCCGCAGAAAGAGGCGCUUGUUCUGACAAUCAUAUUUUUGGCUUUCUUUGACUUAAAGAAAAAUCAAAUCCCUGUUUACAUAUCUGAGAGGAUUGUUCUAUGAACAAAGGCACGGGUCAAAUCGCAUCACAGUGGCUUCUGCGACAGCAAAUAGAAACAUUUCUAAAGUGAAAUACAAACAUUUCUAAGCCUCAGUCAGCCAGAGCCCACGGGAAUGAUACAAGUUGGUGAUAUGAAACCAUUUGCAGUUAUAAUUCAGUUGUAGAUGUGCUUUUUCUUCUGAAGUGUAGAAAUCUUUUUUUAAAACAAAAUUCUAAUCUCUUGCCAGCACGCAUUUUUAUUUGUGCUUCACCUAUUUGCAUAAUAGGGGACGAAUAUGAAUAUAUAUUCAUAUAUGUGUGCAAUCAUAGAAGUCAUCUUUAUUUUGGCUUUUCUGCAGCAGAUUACUUUUUCUUUUUCUCUCGUAAUGGCAUCCGGAAUUGUUUCCAAUAGUGGAAAUUUCAUAAUUACCCACAAAUGUGACUUUUCCAUGUUGACAGAUCCCACAGAGGGCUUGUAGCCAGUGCUUGUGGCCGAUGGGGCUGCACUUUGGAAGUAAGGGCGUUCCAAAGCGCAAGUUCCGAGCAGACCUCUGUUCUGCACCCUGGUAGCAGAUGGUGGAUUGUUCUGUGAUGGGUUUUGAAAGCCCAGAUCUUCUGGUAUUGGCCAGGGACUCAAUGCAAGUAUAACUGCUGUUAUUAUCCACCACUGCUCCCCCCCCCCCCACACACACACAAAUAAGCUCUCAGCACCCUGUGGCCUGUGGUUCUUGAGACUCGGGCUUCUCACGGAGGUUGAGGACUUAGAAAAAGGAAAGCUUAGAACAUUCAGGGUUGUUGACCAAGAUCCUGCAGCAAUCAUGUCAGCCGGGUUUUUCUCCGUAUUCUAAUUCCCAGGCUCUGGGUUGUGUGUCUUACAUUUCAUUUCCAUUCUUUGCUUUGUGUUAGUUUGCUCUUCCAUUUGUGUGUGUGUGUGUUUCUUUCUUAUUUCAAGAAUAUUUUAUUCUUCUUCCUCCAUUACUUUGAUGUUGUUUUGAGACUCGGCCUCACUUAAUCCAGGCUAGCCUCGAACUCAUGAUUGAUCCUCCAGCCAUCGCUUUUAGAUGUGAACCACCACAGUCCAGUCUACAGAAACU
rnacentral:lncRNA from 1 species